UACGGAGGCCUCGAGCGUUGUUCGGAAUCACUGGGCUUAAAGCGCGUGUAGGCGGCACGGUAAGUACUGAGUGAAAGCCCCGGCUUCAAUCCGGGAACUGCUUGGUAUACUGUCGUUCUUGAGGCAGGUAGGGGUCACUGGAACCUUAGGUGGAGCGGUGAAAUGCGUAGAUAUCGGAAGGAACAUCAGUGGCGAAAGCGACUUCCUGGACCAGUACCGACGUUCAGGCACGAAAGCGUGGGGAGCAAACAGG
rnacentral:rRNA from 1 species